rnacentral:lncRNA from 1 species
GGAGGCUGGGGCAUUUUUCUGCUGCGCUGGCCUGCAUCUGCCUUUCGAGUAGCCCUAGAGGCCUAACGCUUGAGGUCACCUUCAUGGUUUUUCCAGUGACCUUGGCCAUUAAUGAGCUCCCACCGCUUCCCCAGCUGCAGCUGUAUUAUAGCGCCAGAGUCUUCCAAGCCUGCAGGUUGUGCCAAGCCUGGAGGGAUUUGCAAAAGAAACAUUUGCCUACACCAAGAUCAUGAAGAUGUUUUCUUCUAGAGGAUUUCUAGUUUUAGCUCUUUAUGUUUAAAUUGAGGGAAACUAAAUGUAUGGCCUUAAGGAGCUGUUCCAGCCUGAGACUAUACACCAGCAGAAAGAAACUCACAGCACUGAAAAUAUUGUUCUCCGCCCUCCCUCAUCCCUCUUCCUUCUGAAUGGGAAAAAAGAGUAAGAAGCUUUUCCCUCCAGCUGAAAGCAAAGGAGUACUCUAGCCCUCUGUGAUAGCUGAUGGCAGCAUCUUUGGUAAGCAAAUGGAUCGUCUCUGCCAAGAAGGAAGAAAAAAAGAAGCAUUAAUUGGGCACCUUCUACUUGCCAGGCUCCAUUCUAGAGAAUUUACCUAAAUCAUCUCAUUGAAUUCACAUGACUAGAUAAUGUAAAGAGUGGUCACCUCCCCAUUUCACAGAUCAGGAAACUGAGGCUCCGACUAGAAAGAUGAAGCAACUUGCCUAGCUAGUGAUUCCAAUCUGGGUUUUGCUGAUUCUUUGCUUAACCUUCCUGAAAUGCCCCUUUUCUUCUCCUCAAGGUGGCUCUCCCAGAGAGGCUGCUCUCUUUGCUGGAAUUUGCCUUGUUCUCUCCUCACUGCUGAAGCACUGUCACUGCGUCCUAAAAAAACACCACAGUAUCCGUAAGACGUUGCCUGUCAUUGGAGGUUUGCUCCUUCUCUCUAUCUCAGACAGGAUUCAAUGAAGAAAACAGAAGCCACUGUAUGUACUCCAGGUGUUUAAAGUUUUAAUUUAGAGAAUUAAGGGUAUACUGAAAUAUUGCAAGACCUGGGGUAGUGGAGGUCAGGUAAGCUGACACCAAAGACCUCAUCCCAAAACACUCAAAGAGUGGUACAUGUCCCACACUUGUGGGCAGCAGCAAGCAUGAUUGUUCCCAAAUCUCAACUCCUUACAGAUCUGGCUGUAACUACCCCUGAAGAACAAAGACCUUUCCCCCACCUCUGUCCUAAUCUCAGGAGAGCUUCUCAUUUGCAAACUCUAACCAGGAAUCAGACAGGGACAGAGUUCAGGGAAGUAUUCCUGGCUUUGCUUCCCUCUGCAGAAGGGACUUUGGCUUUGAGGGAGGUCCUGGGGUUGGUGGUAAUGCCAAGUUGACCUUGGACAAUCCAGCACUCUCUAAGGAUGGCUCCAGCCCCUCGAGGGGAGUCAGCACCCUCUGAAUAGCAUUUUCAGGCCUCUCCCAGGAAGCUGGGGCUUGGAGUGGGAGUGUCCCCCCAGGAGAGUGGCAGAGGCAGGAUGAUUCAGGGUCAGCCCAAACCUUACAGAUAUUCCCCGAGGUGGCCAACGCAACCAUGAGCAAGAGCCGAGGCCUUAGCCAACAAGACAAUGGAGGGCAGCUCAUAUGAAGGGCAAAGCAAAGGCCAAAGUGAGAGAAGUAAGCGCUGUGACAUGGAGACCAGCUCAGGAUAGGAUAGAUGGCUCAGGAACCAGGCUGUUAAGGAGAGAAUACUCAGCAUUUCUGAGAACACGGCAGUUCGAGGACCCGUGCUGGUCUGGGCCCGCUCCCCCAGCCCCUGAUGGGGGCCUGUGUGCUCUGCAAAGAGCUGUGCCCUGUGAUGGGGGGUCUGUGACCUGGGAGGGAAUACACUCAAUCUCACAUGGGUUGUGGAAGCCUGUGCUCCCCCCACAGCCAGGGAAGAUCAUGAGCUGCUUUGUGAGUGUGAGACAUUACAGAUACAACAGCCAAUUGACUCAAACAAAACUAUUGCAGGAAAGAAAAGGCUUUCUGAAUUAUGGAGUGCUGUGGGCUGAGUUGUGGACCCCCAAAAUUUAUAUGUUGAAGUCCUACCCCUAGUGCCUCAGAAUGUUCCUUUAUUUGGAGAUAGGGUCUGAUAGAGUUUAGUUAUUUGUCCCCCCAAAUCUCAUGUUGAAAUGUAGUCCCCAGUGUGGAAGGUGGGGCCUGGUGGGAGGUGAGUGGCUCGUGGAGGAGGAUUUCUCAUGAUUGGUUCAGCCCCAUCCUCAUGGUGCAGUCCUCAUGACGGUGAGUGAGUUCUCGUGAGAUCGGGUGGGUUGAAAGUGUGUGGCCCCUCCUUCUCCUUCUCUUGCACCUGCUUUGGCCAUGAGAUCUGCCUGCUCCACUUGCCUUCCGCCCUGAGUAAAAGCUCCCUGAGGCCUCCCCAGAAGCUGAGUAGAUGCCAUAGCCAUGCUUCCUGUACAGCCCACAGAACCGUGAGCCAGUUAAACCUCUUUCCUUGAUAAGUUACCUACCCUCAGGUAUUUCUUUAUAGCAGCGCAAGAACAGACUCAUACAGGAUCACUGCAUGUGGAAUCAGGUAAGACAAGGUCAUACUGGAGUAGGAAAGGGGUUAAUCCAAUAUGACUGGUGUCCUUAAAAAAUGGGAAAUUCAUCGAGGGCAGAUUGGAUAAAGGAAAUGUUGUACAUAUACACUAUGGAAUACUUCACAGCUAUAAAAAAGGAGAAGAUUAUGUCCUUUGCAGGUACAGGAAUGGAGCUAGAGGUCAUCAUCCUUAGCAAACUAAUGCAGGAACAGAAAACCAAAUGCCACAUGUUCUCACUUAUAAGUUGAAGGUAAAUAAUGAGAACACGUGGACACAUAGAGGGGAAUAGCACACACUGGGGCCUACUUGAGGGUAGAAGGUGGGAGGAAGGAGAGGAUCAGAAAAAACGAUUGGUUACUAGGCUUACUACCUGGUUGAUGAAAUAAUCUGUACAGCAAACCCCAGUAUCAAGAGUUUACCUAUAUAACAAAACUGCACAUGUACCCCUGAACCUAAAAUAAAAGCUUUUUAUAAAAAGAAAAGAAAAAGGGCUGGGCAUGAUGGCUCACACCUGUAAUCCCAGGACUUUAGGACACCCAGGUGGGUGGACUGCUAAGCUCAGGAGUUCAAGACCAGCCUAGGCAACAUUGCGAAACCCCGUCUCUACAAAAAUUAGCCAGGCAUGGUGGCAUGUACCUGAAGUCCCAUCUACUUGCAGGGCUGAGGCCAGAGGAUCGCUUGAACCCAGGAGGUGGAGAUUGUAGUGAGUUGUAUUUGUGCCACUGCACUCCAGCCUCGUUGACAGAGCAAGGGCA